rnacentral:lncRNA from 11 species
AAAGAGGGAAAUGAAAAUUUCCUUGUGUGUCAGGAUCAACCAACUAUUGCCAAGGAACUCCUCAAACAUUUACUGUAACAGAAGGAAGAAACUGAGACAUGCACUCGAAAGAACAUUCUGGAGCCGAGAGGAUUUUUUGGUACUUC